rnacentral:rRNA from 1 species
AGUGAACGCUGGCGGUAGGCCUAACACAUGCAAGUCGAACGGCAGCACAGUAAGAGCUUGCUCUUACGGGUGGCGAGUGGCGGACGGGUGAGGAAUACAUCGGAAUCUACUUUUUCGUGGGGGAUAACGUAGGGAAACUUACGCUAAUACCGCAUACGACCUACGGGUGAAAGCAGGGGAUCUUCGGACCUUGCGCGACUGAAUGAGCCGAUGUCGGAUUAGCUAGUUGGCGGGGUAAAGGCCCACCAAGGCGACGAUCCGUAGCUGGUCUGAGAGGAUGAUCAGCCACACUGGAACUGGGACACGGUCCAGACUCCUACGGGAGGCAGCAGUGGGGAAUAUUGGACAAUGGGCGAAAGCCUGAUCCAGCCAUACCGCGUGGGUGAAGAAGGCCUUCGGGUUGUAAAGCCCUUUUGUUGGGAAAGAAAAGCAGCAGGUUAAUACCCCGCUGUUCUGACGGUACCCAAAGAAUAAGCACCGGCUAACUUCGUG